CCCCAACGCUUGGAUUUUAGCUCCGUCAGAUUCAUUUUGAACUUCUGACCUUCGACCGUCAGCCAGAAAGCGCAGAAGUCUCCAGGCAAGAAGCACCCCCCGGAGAUGAGGGCACCCAGCCUUUCCGCCAUUGCAGAAGCUUGGCCAGUGUGUCCCAAUGACUACCUCCACCUCCAUGUUCAUUCUGCUUAGCUAUUCAGAGUCAGUUUCUGUGACUUGAAACUGAAGAACCCCAGCCUCCUACAGUCUCUAGAAGGAGGAGCCAGCUAAGAAUCAGAGCUGUCCUGCUGGGAUACAGGGUGUGAGAUCCUACGGGUCCAGUUAGAGAGCAGAUGCCGACAUGGAAAAGGAAAGUGAACUGAGAAGGCAAAUCAUGCGUUCCGGAGAGCCCAAGGAGCCAGCGAGCCUGGGGAGAGGAGGGCCCCUCUGCCUGGAUUUCAGACCAUAUCCAAUGUCUCCAGGAAGAAAGGACUAGAAGCCACCACCCUAAUCCUGAGGCCCCCAGGGGAAGCGGCAAGUUCCUGGGAGAAGACAGGUUCC